rnacentral:lncRNA from 1 species
CAUUUUAUUACACAUUAAAGAAGAAGACUUUCUAAGGUGAAUGUACUAAGGACAUGUAAGGUUAUUCAGUGUAGCCAAUGUCUCCCAUCCUUAUGGCCAAGGUUUUAACAGCAUUUUAUUUCCCUACCCCUGCAUAUGACAUUUUUUGUUGGUUUUCUGGAUAAUGCGCAGAAAUGCUGAGGACUUUAAAGAGGUUAUUCAAGAGCCUUAUAAAGAGGUUAUAAUUAUAGCUCUUGAAGCUAACAGUUUGUAAUUUUAGGGUCAAAACUGUAUGCAUUUUAAAGCAUACAGUCCUCAUUUGCAAAGCAGGGCUCAUGAUGAACACAGAAAGACAAUUUUGUUCUAUCUGCAUAUGUCAAGAGAGAAUAUUGCCUUGAUCUAAAUAUUUGGAGAUUCAAACAGAUGACUUUAAUUUAUAAUGCAUAUCUUAUAAGCCUGCUCUAGUUUGCUUCAAUGGUUACUUAUAAAUGAAAACAAACAAGGAGUAGCAAAAAAUAAACAAAUGGCCUGAUAGUAUGUGUAGUGAAACUUUGGUGAAUACUUUUCCCCACAAAACUUACGUGCUUAGACAGCCUUGUAACAACAACCACCCAAAUAGUUUAUAGAUGUUUCAGUGUAUGUGCUAAAAAAAAGUUUCACAAGUUUAAUUAAGCAGAUGUUUAAAAAGUAUCUUCUGAGUUUAUAGAAUAUAUUUAUUCUCAAAAAGCAUGAGAAU